GAUGAACGCUAGCUACAGGCUUAACACAUGCAAGUCGAGGGGCAGCAUUUUAGUUUGCUUGCAAACUGAAGAUGGCGACCGGCGCACGGGUGAGUAACACGUAUCCAACCUGCCGAUAACUCCGGAAUAGCCUUUCGAAAGAAAGAUUAAUACCGGAUGGCAUACGAAUAUCGCAUGAUAUUUUAUUAAAGAAUUUCGGUUAUCGAUGGGGAUGCGUUCCAUUAGUUGUUGGCGGGGUAACGGCCCACCAAGACUACGAUGGAUAGGGGUUCUGAGAGGAAGGUCCCCCANAUUGGAACUGAGACACGGUCCAAACUCCUACGGGAGGCAGCAGUGAGGAAUAUUGGUCAAUGGGCGCGAGCCUGAACCAGCCAAGUAG
rnacentral:rRNA from 1 species